CUCAAAGUAAUUGUCGCAUUUUGAUAUACCAAAUACCCCCAAACCCCUAGAUUAGCCUCAUUCACACACCCCCAUCAUCACUUUCGUCUCUCUCAAGAGACCAAACACCCAAGAACCCUAGCUAGCCGCCACCCCUCCCCUCGCCUGAAAACCCGGUGACUACGGCUCCUUUCACCACCAAAUCAACACCCCUGAACAACCUAAAUCCCCUCUCCAUGAAUCUAUGGUUGUCUAACUUCGAAUCAUCCUCAGUGUUCUCGAAUCUUCAAUCAAUGAUUCGAGGCGAAUACCAAACCAUCCCAACCAAGCCCAAACUCACACCAUAGCCUUCCCUAGCCUCCCUCAUCACCAAACCAUCGUCGGUUAGGUUUGAAUCAAACCUAAACCACUCAAAUCCCAAAUCCGAGCCCAAGAAUCCUAGAAAGUUCGAGGCUGGAUUUCUGUCCUGAUUGAAGGUUUUGGGGUGUUCAAGGGACCUUAGUCGAAGUGUUCUCAAUUGAGAACACUCGAUUAAGGCCCGUUUGACCUCAAGAGUUUCAUGUCCGAAAAAUGGUCCUAAGACGUUUGAUUUCUGAUUCUUCUUCUAAGGUAUUUCUUUCUUCUUUUUCUUCUAUUUUUUGAUUAAUAUCCAUUAUUUAGUUUAGUUUUGCUAUUUUUUGAUCUUUUUGAUUUUUUUAUCAACUGUUCUCUUCUUCUCCAAAUUAAAGACCUUUUAUUUGGUCGAUUUUUUUAUGUUUUUGUUGGUUGUAGCCAUUGUAAACUACAUAUUCGACUCGAUUAAUAUCGUUGAAUCAUUAGUUUCGUAUUUUUCCUGUUUGCCUGAAUGCUAUAAAUCGCAUUGUGUUGUGUCGAUUAUUUAUUAUCUAUUAUAUGUGUUGUAAUCGAUUUAAUAAAUAUCGUCGAUUAGUUGUAUAUGUAUGUUUGUUAGAACAAUGUUUGUGUCCGAAUCUUUGUUUUGAAUUAAGGUCUGAAUUAGUUAUAGCUGAAAUUAGGAAUUUGAAUUGGUUAUAGCUGUAAUUGUAAUAGAAUUUUCAGAGUUUAGUCUAAGUGGGCUUUCAGUCGAGCAUGUGUUGGGCCAUUAGAUGAAUUUAAUGAUAAAAAAGGUAGAAAACCACAUGAGAAAGGAAUAAAAACAGGCUAAUUAAAGGCUAAGGACAGUGCAGUAAUAACAAUAGGAUUACAGGGGUAUUUGGUAUUGAAAAAUGGUCAGAAUUGACUAUAUUAAUGAUCUGAUAGUCAAACACCAAUAAGACAAAAGCUUAUACAUUAGUUUAAUGUUAGUGGGUAACAAACCCUUAUAUCAUGCCUUGAUUUAGGGAAGAAAAUAAGGAAAAGCCUUCCUUAGUGGGAUUUAGUUAAAAAUAGGCAAGUUUUCUUGGGGUGGUUGGUCAGGUAAGUGAAGUUUUUCAAAGGAGGGUAGGUCUAGGAGGUUACGAUAAAUACAGAGAGUUGAGGAGUAAUUAGGGAUUGAAUUUUGAACAUUAGAAGUUCAGUAUUAGGAGAGCUGAAAAUUUAGAACUGGAGUUUUGAGAGAGAGAUUUAGAAGUUAAGAGUGAAGACUGGAAUUUUUAGGGAAAAAGGUCUAGAGUUUCAUAGAGAGUUUGACUGAGAUUUCUUUCAAGUUUCAGUUUCUUUGUUUUCCUGGAGUGUUCACUAGCAGAAAUAUUACCUUCCUUGCACCUGUCUCGCUUUCAAUUUAACUGUGAGUGCAUCCUGUGUACUACUGAGAGCUUAGUGUAACAUAUCCUGGGUCUUCUAUUUGGUAUUCAUCUUCUAGAGUUCCUACAGUUCCUGGUGGGGCUGAGUUAGUCUUUGAUAGGCCCAUACUGUUAUUCAUUUGGUUUCCUGGGCUAUUUUCUGUUUGAUUUUCAAUCUGCUACUGAGAUUCUUGCUAUUUGGUUUCACUAGUUCAUUGUUGUUGCUGCUGAAUCUGUUGCUGGGUUAAGUGCUACUGCCAUUACUGAUCUUCAUCUCCUUUCUUGCUUUUCCCAAAUUGCAGGUACACACAAUUGAUAUACUAGUUCAAUGUAUUUGAAAUGAGAAGCAUGAAUAAAAAGAUAAAGCUUUAAAGCUUAAAGUCUUUUUGAUGUAUCUGUACAUUAUGAGUUGUAUAUAUAUGUUAGUUUUUAGUUCAUUAGGUUCAUGUCAUUAGUUGUCAUGUAAAGCUGAAUAACAAAUCUGUAUAGUCUAAUUAGUAGACUCUUUCCUCGUAUGCCAGUUUUAAAAAAAGGGAUUGUGAUACUGUAGUUCAUUGUUGUCAUUUCCGGUCUAUUUCAUUUAAAAGUAGGAACAAAUGCCAGGUAUUAAAGAAUAAGUAGUUCAAAUUAAUUACAGUGAUAGAUGCAUAAUUAAGCUGGCAAAAACUUAUGUAAUUAGACAGCUUUCUCAUCUUUCUGUUUUCUUAAUAGCUUGAACGUGUAUAGCCUACUGCAGCUAGGCUUAAAAGGAAUUCAUAAUUAAAUGGCCCAGGCCCCGACUUUGUACCUCACGUUGGGCUUGGGCCCAAGCUUUUAACACCGCCUUCCUUAACCCCCUCUAAGCAUGUAAAUAAUAUAGGAUUUUGUUUCUUUUUCUUUUUAUUUAUUUAGAGAUGCAACGAAAUAGAAAACGUAGUCGCUUUAGGAUAUCCUUUAAAAUAAAAUAAUAUUUGCCUCACCCAAAUAAAUUACAAAUUAC
rnacentral:lncRNA from 1 species